ensembl:lncRNA
UUUAAACUCUUCAGAAUUUUUGAAGACUCAAGUUCAAUUUCUUUGGCAAAGCUACUUCGAGCUAAUUGGAGGCCAUGUGAUGUUCUUACACAUUUUUUGAAUAAAGGUUUUGCAGGCAUUCAGAUGCAGGGAAGUGCUGAGUAGUCACCCUACAUCAUACUUCAUGGGAUAUAUCCACCAGCAACAGUUCACAUAUUAAUUAUCUUGGAUGAAAGAUGACUUUUGGAAAGAGACAGAACAGAGUCUGGAUCAUCCCAGUUGAUAGUGACACAAAUUUAUUCACAGCUAAAACCUCAAUGGCCCAAUGAUGCUGUGAUGCUCCAGGGUAGGAUUAUACCAGCUGAAGACAUCCUGGGGAGCAACAAAAUCAUCUGCAUAAAUUCCUCAUUGCUCCAGGAUUAUCAUUGCUGCCCUCUGAGUCAUCUGUGAAUCAAGCAAGCUCCAGG